GCUAUACAUGCAAGUCGAACGCGUUGGCCCAAUUGAUUGAUGGUGCUUGCACCUGAUUGAUUUUGGUCGCCAACGAGUGGCGGACGGGUGAGUAACACGUAGGUAACCUGCCCAGAAGCGGGGGACAACAUUUGGAAACAGAUGCUAAUACCGCAUAACAACGUUGUUCGCAUGAACAACGCUUAAAAGAUGGCUUCUCGCUAUCACUUCUGGAUGGACCUGCGGUGCAUUAGCUUGUUGGUGGGGUAAUGGCCUACCAAGGCGAUGAUGCAUAGCCGAGUUGAGAGACUGAUCGGCCACAAUGGGACUGAGACACGGCCCAUACUCCUACGGGAGGCAGCAGUAGGGAAUCUUCCACAAUGGGCGCAAGCCUGAUGGAGCAACACCGCGUGAGUGAAGAAGGGUUUCGGCUCGUAAAGCUCUGUUGUUAAAGAAGAACACGUAUGAGAGUAACUGUUCAUACGUUGACGGUAUUUAACCAGAAAGUCACGGCUAACUACGUGCCAGCAGCCGCGGUAAUACGUAGGUGGCAAGCGUUAUCCGGAUUUAUUGGGCGUAAAGAGAGUGCAGGCGGUUUUCUAAGUCUGAUGUGAAAGCCUUCGGCUUAACCGGAGAAGUGCAUCGGAAACUGGAUAACUUGAGUGCAGAAGAGGGUAGUGGAACUCCAUGUGUAGCGGUGGAAUGCGUAGAUAUAUGGAAGAACACCAGUGGCGAAGGCGGCUACCUGGUCUGCAACUGACGCUGAGACUCGAAAGCAUGGGUAGCGAACAGGAUUAGAUACCCUGGUAGUCCAUGCCGUAAACGAUGAGUGCUAGGUGUUGGAGGGUUUCCGCCCUUCAGUGCCGGAGCUAACGCAUUAAGCACUCCGCCUGGGGAGUACGACCGCAAG
rnacentral:rRNA from 1 species